GAUGAAGAACGCAGCGAAAUGCGAUAAGUAGUGUGAAUUGCAGAAUUCAGUGAAUCUUCGAAUCUUUGAACGCACAUUGCGCCCUUUGGUAUUCCUUAGGGCAUGCCUGUUCGAGCGUCAUUUAAACCUUCAAGCUCAGCUUGGUGUUGGGUGACUGUCCGCUUCACCGCGGACUCGCCUCAAAAUUAUUGGCGGCCGGUACAUUGGCUUCGAGCGCAGCAGAAACGCGAACUCGGGCCCGUCGUAUUGGCUCCCAGAAGCUAUCUUCACAAUUUUGACCUCGGAUCAGGUAGGGAUACCCGCUGAACUUAAGCAUAUCAAUAAGCGGAGGA
rnacentral:misc_RNA from 1 species